CUUUAUAGGCAUCCCUAUAGGUCACCUAUAGAAAAUGUUCCAAUUGCCUAUAAUCCAACUACCAAAAGAAAAUGUUCCAAUUGCUUAUAGGAACCUAUAGGUUGGCCUAUAGACUUUUUUUGUAAGGGAAUUUUAGGAAACCAGGGAACAAUGCAUAUUUUGCAAUCAGAAUUCAAAGCAAAAAAUGAUAGAAACCAAGGGACCAUAAAGUUGGGAAAACAAGGAAACAUGGUGAAAUCUUUGUGGGGGAAAAAGGAAAAAUUUGCAAGCGAAUACAUAUCCCCCAUAGGAUACUAUAGCUUUGUACUCUACAGUGAAUUAAAAAUAUCAAAGUGACUAUAUGACCGGCAGCCGGUCACGGUUUAUCAAAUACUAAAUGACCGGCAGUCUAGUGACUAUAGUUGAAUAUAAAAACUUUUGUUUGCGUUAACUUUUACCGAGCUUGCCGUUAGCUCAUACGGCAAGGGCGUUGUGUGCGGAAAGUUAAACGCAGUCGGGGUCGGGAUGUGUUUUGUCUGACUUAGCAUUGUUUUUUCUUAAAAUUUUUUAAACUUUUUUUCCGACUUUUCUAACUCACAAAAGGUUAGGGUUAGGGGUUAGGGCUAGAAAAGGGUUUGGGGUUGGGGAUAGGUUUAUCUUAUAAAAAUUCAACUUUAACUAUAGUCACUAGACUGCCGGCCAUUUAGUAUUUGAUAAACCGUGACCGGCUGCCGGUC